GCGUUAUGAUUUAUGAAACUGGUCUGAAUAUGUAUAUGGAUCAAUAUCUGUAAAAUGGGUUACUUAAAUGACAUUGCAGAAGGGCCGAACAAAGGAAAAGGUCAUAUAAUGUGAACCCAUAACAUCGUAAUAUAAAGUAAGCCCAAUUUAUAAGUCCAAAACUCAAGUUACUGCAAACUUACGCCGAACCCUACAAUUACUACAGUUUACCGGUUGCUCGCCACCAAUUAUCCAAUACCGCUAGCAACUCCUUUUUCCAGAAUUUGGUACCAAUUUCGUUUUCUUUGGUUGAUCUACAAUCACAUGACUCACGGACAUUCAAUGUCCGAAGAAGUGGAAUUCAAGUUUAUUAACAGUAGUUUGUGUAUCAUAUAGUCUCAAAGGCUGAUUAUUGCUUUAUGAGAAACUAUUCUUAAUGUUAGGGAUAAUAUACUAGAUUAAUCAUUUAUCUGUAAAUCUGUACCUUCAAGCUUAAGUUCUUAUGUUUGAAUUUCCAUUCCCUCUUUGUAUA